rnacentral:rRNA from 1 species
UACGGAGGGGGCUAGCGUUGUUCGGAAUUACUGGGCGUAAAGCGCACGUAGGCGGACUGUUAAGUCGGGGGUGAAAUCCUGGGGCUCAACCUCAGAAUUGCCUCCGAUACUGGCGAUCUUGAGUCCGGGAGAGGUGAGUGGAACUGCGAGUGUAGAGGUGAAAUUCGUAGAUAUUCGCAAGAACACCAGUGGCGAAGGCGGCUCACUGGCCCGGUACUGACGCUGAGGUGCGAAAGCGUGGGGAGCAAACAGG